rnacentral:tRNA from 1 species
GUGGAUGUAGCCAAGUGGUAAGGCAGUGGAUUGUGAUUCCACCAUACGCGGGUUCGAUUCCCGUCAUUCACC